rnacentral:rRNA from 1 species
UACGAAGGGGGCGAGCGUUGUUCGGAUUUACUGGGCGUAAAGGGCGCGCAGGCGGCUCAUUUUGUCAGGCGUGAAAGCCCCGGGCUUAACCUGGGACUGCGUUUGAGACGGAUGGGCUAGAGUUCGGGAGAGGAGAGUGGAAUUCCCAGUGUAGAGGUGAAAUUCGUAGAUAUUGGGAAGAACACCAGUGGCGAAAGGCGGCUCCACUGGCUCGUAUCUGACGCUCAGGCGCGAUAGCGUGGGGAUCAAACAGG